rnacentral:lncRNA from 1 species
CUAACAGACUCCUUCCACCAUACCUAUCUAGGCUACAAUUCCUGGACCUACCCUAUUCACACCAACGCAGAAUUUGCAAUGGGGUAUUCAUGCAUAAGCUCAUUCUUGCCAUUGUGGACUCCCAAACCCGUCAGCAGUUUUAAAGUGCUGAAUAAGUCUCCUAGGCGCAAAAAAGUCAUUCCUCGUGAUCUGCAAGUGCCUGUCCCUCGACCGCUCGCUGCUGAUCAACUGUCUCCG